CUCAUCAGCCUUUUCCUGCAGGUGGCAAGAUGCAAAAUGUGCAUGCAAAACUCCAAACCUCCACAUUUCAGGUAACCACGUCCUUUCAGAGUGAUCAAUGAGACUGUGCUGAGCUCCGAUCCCCCACAAACCACACGGGUUAGCGAUGCCACCCGGCAUUCCUGUUUGAACCUGCCCGGCUGCUAGGCCCUUUCUUCUGAUGAGGCUGUUUUCUCCGGGAAUGGUAUCACUGUCUGCCAUCGUGACUGUGGUGGAGACCUCCAGAGCACACUGACCCUGCAGAAUAUUCUGCCCCUGCCCCUCAAUAGAAUCUAAUUUAGAAGCUCUCCACCCUUUCUCGGCUCCCUUCCGUGUUUUCUGGCGCUGUCCCAAAGCAGAUUUCAUCGGGUGCAACAAAGCAUGGGCAGCUGGCUUCCUACAAGCAGACAGGACGGAAGUGGCUACGCCUUCUUCAACCUGGUCCUAGAAGUGCUAGCCCAUCCUUCCAGCCAUACUCAGUUGCUGAGGCAGUCGCCAGUGAUUCAAAGAUGAGCGAGACACUUGCAGCUGGUUGAAGGAUGUAAACAGGUUCAGAAGCGAAUGCUGGGCAGCAGCUGGGGUUUGGAAGGGGCCAAGAUAGCAUCACAGACGCCGGUGAUGAUACAAAAGAGGUGUCUUCGGGUCAGGAGCGUAACUCUGCUGCAACAGCCUUUGAGAGCGACGCGGCAACCUUGCAAGGAAUACCAUGGAAAUGGAAGAUAGUGUGUCCAUUUCACCUGGACCAUCUUCUGAACCCCCAAAUUAAACAACCCCACCAA